rnacentral:rRNA from 1 species
GACGAACGCUGGCGGCGUGCUUAACACAUGCAAGUCGAGCGGUAAGGCCCUUUCGGGGGUACGACGAGCGGCGAACGGGUGAGUAACACGUGGGUGACCUGCCCUUACGCUCUGGGAUAAGCCUGGGAAACUGGGUCUAAUACCGGAUAUGACUCCAUGACGCAUGUUGUGGGGUGGAAAGCCUUGUGCGGCUAGGGAUGGGCCCGCGGCCUAUCAGCUUGUUGGUGGGGUGAUGGCCACCAAGGCGACGACGGGUAGCCGGCCUGAGAGGGC